rnacentral:rRNA from 1 species
GUCGAGAAUCUUCCGCAAUGCGCGAAAGCGUGACGGAGCGACACCGCGUGAUGGAUGAAGUCCUUCGGGGCGUAAACAUCUUUUAUAAAGGAGGAAAUUUUUGACGUUACUUUAUGAAUAAGGGGCUCCCAAUCUCGUGCCAGCAGGAGCGGUAAUACGAGAGCCUCAAGCGUUAUCCGGAAUCAUUGGGCGUAAAGGGUGCGUAGGUGGUUUGAUUAGUCUCCCGUUAAAACAUCGAGCUUAACUCGGAGAGAGCGAGGGAAACGGUCAAACUAGAGUAUGUGAGAGGUGUGUGGAACUCAUGGUGUAGGGGUGAAAUCCGUUGAUAUCAUGGGGAACACCAAAAGCGAAGGCAGCACACUGGCACAUCACUGACACUGAGGCACGAAACCUAAGGUAGCGAAUGGGAUUAGAAACCCUGGUAGUCC